UACGUAGGGACCAAGCGUUGUUCGGAUUUACUGGGCGUAAAGGGCGCGUAGGCGGCGUGGUAAGUCACUUGUGAAGUCUCUGAGCUUAACUCAGAACGGCCAAGUGAUACUGCUGUGCUAGAGUGCAGAAGGGGCAAUCGGAAUUCUUGGUGUAGCGGUGAAAUGCGUAGAUAUCAAGAGGAACACCUGAGGUGAAGACGGGUUGCUGGGCUGACACUGACGCUGAGGCGCGAAAGCGUGGGGAGCGAACAGG
rnacentral:rRNA from 1 species